AAAAAAUACUUGCAAAUGAGGCAACCGACAAGGGAUUAAUCUCCAAAAUAAACAAACUUAUAUUGGUAAAUAUCAAAAAACCAAACAACCCAAUCAAAAACUGGGCAGAUCUAAAUAGAUAUUUCUCCAAAGACAUACAGAUGGCCAAAAGGCACAUGUAAAGAUGCUCAACAUCACUAAUAAUUAGAAAAAUGCAAAUCAAAACUACAAUAAGGUACCAUGUUACACCAGGCAGAAUGGCAUCAACACAAAGUCUACAUAAAUUCUGGAAAGGGUACAAAUAAAAGGGAACCCUCUUACACUGUUGGUGGGAAUGUAAAUUGGUACAACCACUAUGGAAAACAAUGUGGAGAUGCCUCAAAAAAUUAAAAAUAGAACUACCAUAUGAUCUCACUCCUGGGCAUCUAUCCAGAGAAAACCAUAAUUUGAAAAGAUAUAUAUACCCCAAUGUUCACUGCGGCACUAUUUAGAAUAGCCAAGACAUGGAAACAAUCUAAAUGUCCAUCUACAGAAGAAUGGAUAAAGAAGAUAUGGUAGAUAUAUACAGUGGAGUAUUACUCUGCCAUAAACAAGAAUGAAACAAUGCCAUUUGCAACUACAUGAAUGGAACUAGAAAUUAUCAUACUAAGUGCAGUUAGUCAGACAAUGAAAGACUAACAUCAUAUGAUGUCACUUAUAUGUAGAAUUUAAAAAAGGAUGCAAAUGAACUUAUUUGCAGAACACAGACUCAAUAGACGUUGAAAAUAAACUUAUGGGAGGGGAGGGAUGGACUGGGGUUUUGGAAUUGGCACAUGCACACUGAGGUAUAUGGAAUGAUUGACCACCCCGGACCUGCUAUACACCACAGAGAAUUCUACCCAUAUUCUGUGAUAGUCUACGUGGUAAAAGAAUCUGAAAGACAACUGGUGUACACGUAUAACUGAAUCAUUUUGCUGCAUAGCAGAAAUUAUCNCGAAAGCCUAUCCAGGUAACCUUGAGCAGAUCUGUGAGGCUAUCUAUGGCUUAUUCAGGUAAUGCUGAACACAGAAUGGGGAACAGAAGCCCUGUGAAACCCAUUUCAGACUUCUGGUCUCCUGUUAGAAUGUAAAUGUGUAUUGUUUUUAGCCACCAAUUUUGUGGUAACUGAUUACAGCAGCCAUAGGAAACUAAUACAGGUCCCAAUCAAUCUGAUUCCUCAAGAGCCACACAUAUUUGAGAGGUAUUUGGUUUGCCUCAAAGUUUUACCCAUUACAGAGUUAUCAGUCAGAGUGUAAGCCAUCAGUGGGACCUCUGUACACCUAUCAACUCUAGUCCCUGUGUCUGUGACUAUUCUAAGGAAAUGUGGGGUUGGGCCAGCUCACAGUCACAGAGGAAGAAUCACAGACAUUAGGGAGUGGAUUGACAUUUAGCUUUUGUUUCUGAGCCCUCUUUCUUCUAUGUAAUCACUCCCUUGGCAAUGCCUUGGGUUCAUAGUUAAGCAUCAGGGCUUACUUCCAGAUAACAUACACAUCGUCUUCUGUGUAUGAUUCUAGUUUAUCCUUUUUCUCAGGUUCCCUCCUGCAUUUUCUGUAGUCUGCUCUACAUCCUCCCAUGAAUAUGACAGCAGCACCUCAAACUCAGCAUCUCCAAGUGAGAUCCAAUGCUUUGCCUCCCAAAUGCACUCCACCCCACCAGGUAGACACAUGAACAGUGGCCCCACUAUUGGCUUAAAUUCUGACUCAAGACUGUGCAAUAGGUAACAGUGUGAGACAAAAUAUCUCUCGAAUAUGUGUGGCUCCUUGAGGGGGUUAAUUUGAUUGAGACCUAUACCUUCUAUAACAGCAUCACACUCCUGGCACUCACUAUCAAACCCACCUGGAGGUAGUCUCUGACGCUCGCUUUUCCCUAAAUCCUCACAUCCAACUAAUUGCUAACUCCUCUUGGUUCUCUCCUCUCCCACUAUUCAGGCUGCUCAGAUUUCUGAUCUUUCAAAUACAGCAUUUUCUGAAUCAAAUAAUGCCGUUUGAAGCAACAUGGAAGGCUCUAGAGAUUACCAUACUAAGUCAAGUAAGUCAGACAGAAAAAGACAAACAUUAUAUGAUAUCAUUUAUAUGUGGUAUCUUAAAAAACAGAUAAAGAUAUAGUAUUAUCCUGCUCCAACCCAUUCUAAACACAAUGUUUCAAAAUGAAGGUUGUGUCACAUCCCAGCCUAAAAAACAAAAACCUCUUUGUCACCUUUGUAGGUUGCUGGGGCUCUAACCCAUUCUAAAAAUUCAUAAACAUUUUAUCCCAUCUUUCCCAUUCAGCUUUAGAGAAGUUUAUCUUUACAGAAGAAUCACAGAUAAUAAAUGCAAAAGGUUUGAUAGAAUCUCCAAAUCACUAUUUUGCAAAUCCUAAUGAAAUAAUAGAUCCAGGCAAUAAUCAUCAAUGGCUGCUAACAACAUUAUGUGAAAGACUGAUAAGGAAGAUUGAUGGUAGAUGGCACCGAAAAUCACUGACCAAACUUAAGAUCACUGAAAGUGGAACAACUAUAUAUCAUGUGCCUCCUGGAGUGAUGCAAAAGAAAGUACACAGCAUCACCUAUGGAGUAUUCCUGGAAAAAAAUUUCAGACAAGUUUCUAGAUCUAACUAGACACCAUGGGGAUACCAUCAGCCGGAUCUUGAAUGGAGGAAAUUCUAUAGAAUAUAUGAUUUAGUUAUUUCCUCAUAUAAAUAGCAAGAGGAAAGAAAUUAAAAACAGGGUGAAUGUUAUAUAGAGUUUUUAAAAGAGACAUACUAACUAAAUGUAAUGUUGGAUCCUGACUUAACCUGGAGGAAGAUAUUUUUGAGAUAGGAAAAUUGAAUACAGGCUGAUUAUGACAUGAUUAUUAAGGAAAUCUUAUUAAUUUUGUUGAGUGGCAAUGAUAGUGUGGCUUGAUUAAAAUUAUGAAGACCUUAUCUGUUAAAAAUCAAUUUUUAAGUAUUUACAAGUGAAAUGAUACAAUGUCUAAGAUUUACUUUAAAAUCCUUCAGCAAAGACAUUUUUAAAAAGGAAGGGAUAGGAGUUCCCGCUAUGUGCAAUGGGAUUGGCAGUGUCUUGGGAGUGCUGGGACGCAGGUUCAAGCCCUGGCCCGGCACAGUGGGUUAAAGAUCCAGUGUUGCCUCAGCUGUGGCUUACAUUUCAACUGCAGCUCAGAUCUGAUCCCUGGCCCAGGGAACUCCAUAUGCCUUAGGGCGGCCAAAAAUUGGAAAAAAAAAAAAAAAAAAAA
rnacentral:lncRNA from 1 species